rnacentral:lncRNA from 10 species
CCUGGGAUUACAGGCGUGAGCCACCACACCUGGCCCUGUACACUUGAAAUACACAUUUUUAUUUGUCAACUAUACUUCAAUAAAACUGGAAAAAAAUUUUUUUCACAGGAGUCACAACGUACAGGGACAACAACAACAAAACACCAAAAAUCCUGCAAAUUGCUUGCAAAUACUUCUCAGGAUCUUCACUGGGUGGUUUUGUGUAUAUAUAGGAAAAGGGUGGAUGGGUGAUAAGGAAAGCAAGAAUGAGGAAAGGACUUGGUGGUAUUUGUAUCCAUCUACAGAAAGAAGUCAGCUAUCAGACUCCGGAAACCCAAACAAUUUUCUGAUGAAGGAGAGGCGUGGUAUGACAAUUGGCCCUGACCUCUGCACAAGCGAUCACCAAGAUUCACUGAUUCUGCAGCUGUAGAAUCAACUCCCAGACUAAGUUAUCUAAGAAUGAAACCUCAAAUCUUCCACACUAAAAUCACCUUUAAAAACAUAAGCUCUUUAAAAAAAAUAAUAAGAGGUAACUUUUCUAAAAUAUUUUGUAUAAAUAUUUUAUAAUUUGUGUGUGUGUAUGCACAUUUGUAGAUUUUUAAUUUGUAGGUACUCUUUAUUUGCAUUUUUUCACAAAAAAGCCUUCCUCUAAUAUUUAUAAAUAAAUAAAUAUAGUAAAGAAAAACGGUUAUCAGUAUGAACAAUAAAUACAAUUUUUAUGCAACUUAACUUUAAAGUAUCUAAUCUUUGGAAUUCUGGGUUGUAAUGUGGAGAAAUAAUGACAUCUGAUUUGCCUUCCCUGUCAUUCCAUAAAAUAUUCUUGAAACCCAAAAAAGAGAAAUAGUGACUCAACAUUAUUUUUAUUCCCUCAGUUUAAAAUUCUUCUUUAGGCUCCAUUUAAUCAGCUCUUACCACUUUCGUCUUUUAACUUUUUUCUUUCUUUCUUUUUUGAAAUAGGGUCUUGCCCUGUUUCCCAAGGUGGAGUGCAGUGGUGUGAUCACAGCUCACUAGGCUCAAACCCGUAGCCUUGAGCAAUCCCCUCAUCUCAGCCUCCUGAGUAGCUAGGACUACAGGUGUGCCCCAUCACACCUGGCUAAUUUUUAAAUUUUUUUAAUGGAGAAAUGGGAUCUCUCUAUGUUGCCCAGGCUGGUCUCAAACUCCUAGUCUCAAGCAAUCUUCCAGCCUAGGCCUCCCAAAGUACUGGGAUUACACGCAUGAGCUACCUACCAUGCCCAGCCUUCUUCUUUUCCAUUAUUUUCACAAUAUUUUGUAAGUCCAAAAAAUACAUGUGAAAUAGAUUUGAUUUACAAGGCAUAUUGACAAAACGAACCAGCACAUAUCCAAUACUCUACACUCUGUUCCUAUCCGUUUUCCCUGCCCCACCUUCUAGGUAUAGCCAUUAUUCUGAAUGUUUGACAUCGUCCCUACCAAUUUUAGUUGUAUUACAUGUGUGUACAGCCCUGAAUACCAUAUUGUGUAUUCUUCCAUUAUUUAAAAAUGUUGUUACACAGCCUUCUGGAAUUUACUUUUUCACUCAACAUCAUAUCUUUGAGAGUCAUCGUUGUUGUAUGUAACUGACUUACAAUGAUUUGUUGUAUGCAUAUACCGUAAUUUAUUUAUCCAUUCUGCUACUGGUAGAUAUUUGAGAUCACUCAGGUUUUUGAUACUUGAACUGAUUAUGUGAAUAAUCUUUUAUUUCUGAUGCACAUAUACAAAACUGUCUCUAAAGUAAGUCCCUGGAGGAAUUGUGGAGUUAUAGUUUAUCAACACUUUUUUUUUUUUUUUUUUUUUUUUGAGACGGCGUCUGGCUCUGUCACCCAGGCUGGAGUGGAGUGGCGCGGUUUCGGCUCACUGCAGCCUCUGCCGCCAGGGUUCAAGCGAUUCUCCUGCCUCAGCCUCCUGAGUAGCUGGGACUACAGGCCUGUGCCACCACGCCCAGCUUGUUGACCAGGCUGGUCUUGAACUGCUGACCUCAAGUAAUCCACCCGCCUCGGCCUCCCAAAGUACUGGAUUACUGGCGUGAGCCACCGUGCCCGGCCUGAACACUUUCAAUUUUAGUGGGAAGUCUUCUCUUUUUUUUCCUAAAUCUGUUGCUUUUAUAUCUUCACCAAUACUUGGUAUUAUUAAACUUCUUGAUUUUUGUCUGUCUAGGGAAAUGAAAUAAAAUAUCAUUCUGCUAUUAAUUUGCAUUUUCCUGAUUAUUAAUGAUGUUAGAUACCUUUUCACUAUUCUUGUUUCCUCUUUGGGGAAAUGCCUGUAGUUAUUUUCUUCCUAUUUUUUUUUCUAUGGCAUUAUCUGCAUUUUACUGAUUUAUAGAAAAUCAGUACAUUUAUAAAUUACUCGUAUAUUCUGUAUACUGUUUAUUGGUAGUGUGUUGUAAAUAAAUUCUUACGGAUUGUGGCUUGUUUUUUCACUUCACUUAUGCUGUCUUUCAGUGAAUACAAAGUAUUAAAAUAGUGUGGAUUAUCAGUCUUUACUUUUGUAGUAAGGUUUUUUGUGUUCUUGAGAAAUUCUUCACUACUCUGAGAAGACUGGAUUUUCCCACGACCAUGUUUUCCUUCUUUUUUUUUCUCUAAAAGUUUUAAGUUUGAUUUUCACAAAUUCUUAAUCUAUCAGGAAAUGAUUUUCACAUGUGUGGUGAGAUAGGGAUCCAAUUUUAUUUUUUCCACAUGGACACUCAACUGUCCCUGUUUACUGAAUAGCCUCCCUUUCCAGUUAUUAAAUAGUAUCCUUAUCCCAUAUAAUACAUGUCCAAAUAAUCAUGGAUCUGAUUCUGGGUCAUCUAUUGUUUCACUGACCAAUUUAUCUAUCACUGUGCCACCCCACAGCUUCCAACUUACUAGAGCUUUAAGUAAAACAGAAUAGUUACAAGGCAGGUCCUCCCACCUUAUUCUUCUUUCAGGAAUGUUUUUUUGUUUCCUUGGCUAUUUGCUUUUCACUUAAAUUAUAUAAUCACUUGCUAUAGUCUACAAAAAGCUCUAGGGACUUUGAUGAGAAUUACAUUAAAUGGAUAGAUAAAUUUAAGUGAGAAUUAAAACUGUGAUACCAUGUUCCCAUACAAUAAAAUUUAUCUCCCGCACUUGUGUAGAUCAACUUUAAAACCUCUCAAGAAAGUUUUAUAAUUUUCUCCAUGAAAGAUUUCCACAAGGUUUGCUAGAAUAAGUCUUAGGGAACAAUAUAUUUUGUUUUUAUUAUAAAUAGUAACAUUUUAAAAAUCUGUUUUAAAAAAAUUAGAUAUCUGAGAUUAAUAUAGAGAAAAUAAAGAGUAUUUUAUUGCUAAUCAUAUCACUAGCCACAACACUCAAUUCUUAUAAUAGUCUGUAUAUUCGUAUGGGAGUUUGUGUGUGUGUGUGUGUAAACAAAUUACAUCAUUUGAGACUAAUGACAGUUUUGUUUUUUUCUUCUCAGUUUAUGUGACUUUUAUGUCUUCUUCUUGCUUUACUAUGCUGGCUAGGACUUCCAGUACCAUGUUUAAUGGAGUAGUCAUAUGAUGUGUCAAUGUGCUCAUGAUUUAAAAAUGAAUUUUUCUAAUAUUUUAUUAUUAACAAUGAUGUUUUCUUUAGAAUUUUGGUGAAAACCUUAUCAGGUUAAAAGAGUUUCCUUUUAUUACUUGUUUGCUAAAAAAUUUUAUCAUUGACAGUGCUGAAUUUUAUCAAAUUCUUGUUUUGCAUGUACUUAAUCUUUAAUGUGGUGAAUGACAUUUACAGUUGUUUAAAUGUUAAACUACUCUUGCAUUCCUGGGAUAAACCCUUGGUCAUUCAUUAAUUUUGCUUUUAAUUCCCUGGUGUUUUCAUUUGGGGCCUAUUGCGUUUAUUCAGGACUGAGACAGGACUAUAAUUUUCCUUUUUUUGUAUAAUCCUUGUCUGCUUCUAGUAUUGAGGAUUUCUUAACUUCAAAGAAAGAGUUGGGGAGUAUUUUCUCCUUUUUAACUAUCUUUAAAAGGUAUACAAGACCAAAACAAUUGGUACUUUGAAAAUUUUGUCCAAUUUGUCUAUGAAACUAGUUUGGCC